CCAUGUAGGUGCUGUGACGGUGAUCUCUUGCAUGUGUCGCAGGAUCAUUGUUAGAACCAGCGAGAACGUGGCCAAGACAAAGGAGUUUUCAUACAGAAGAACUGGAAAGGAAGAAUAUCGUGCCGAUGAUUAAGAUGAAGAAGCCGAGGUGAAACACUGUUACUCAUCUGACAGUAGUAGUGUUAACUGGAUGAUGCAAGGCCCAAUGACCAAGCUAAACGGAAACCAGCCAAACUAAAUGACUCACAUAUUUUCGGAUGUCGACCUCCGGUAUUGGGCAUGGUCCAAGUUAUGUCCAACAAGGACAGUAAAUGAAAAACGAAAUUCAUGUUCGCUAGUAUCAUACGCUCGCUGCAUUUCGGCUCCAACCAAAGCACCAACAGCGUCGUCGUCAUCAUUGCUGCACAGGAAAAUUAGCUUGUACAAAGGCGAUUCGUAUGUUUGUCCAGAUUAGAAUUACUCUACGAACCUAUUAUGAAAGUAGAAAGAGUUGCACCAUCGACGGUGGCCCGUCUUUUGAGAAGAAAGUUGUACGACAGCAAUUUAGUGGUACCAUCGAAGCCAAACUUUGUCUCCGAGUCGAAAUAGUACUCGGUGAUGCCCACAAUUUCCCAUUCGGAAUGAUUUGCUGACGACUCGAAUGAUUCCUAACGAAAAUGAACAUUCAAAAUGAACAUUUUUGUUUUCCGUACGAAGGAUUGUUAACGAUCGUGGCACAUACUUCGCCUUUUGCCGAGGUCUCCAUAUAAAUGUCCUCCGAGGAGUGAGCCCAGGAAGAAAUCUGUAUGCUACAGUUCAUUAAAUCAUACGGCCACCAAGUGACGUCUCUUCCGCAAUAUAUCACGUAUGUAAUUUGUGGAACGCAAAUCACGUCGCCGUUAAACAUCACCAAACACUGCGUCUUCGGCAUGCUCAUGUCGACGCCCUCGGUCGUCCUGCGUUCGAGGUCAAUGAAAAUCUUAGGAAAACUAUUAGAUAGCGCGUAGAAUAUGUUUGGUAUUUUUGUUCAUAGGAUCGACGCUCGGUUAAUUAGACUGCGGAUUUUUGCAUAGAAGAAUAAUUGUAUGCAGGAAACAGGGAUCAUAGAAAUGCGCCAAUAAAUGAUUGACGUUUUAAUAGCUAUUUAUCCGGAAUAAAACUUUUCACUUUGUUAUCUUUAAGGAAAUACCUGAUUGGUUUUCUUUGGACGGAUCUGGUUUUCUUUUAUGUUUGUAAUGUAAUUACCGUGCGACGCGGUUAAAAGGCUUUGUAAAAAGAGCGACAAAAAGUUCAUUUGCAAAUGUUAAAGGUUGACAUUAUACGUCGAUUCAAACCGUGAGCAAAUUUACGUAUUAGAUGUACUUAUCGUGGCAUUAUUUCCGAAUGGAAAAAUAACUGUUUUUACAUGUGCAAACAUGUUGUACUGCGUGAAUUGAGAUACCAGAAACUAAAGAAUGUAUAAAUGCAAUAUUUUUACAGCA